rnacentral:rRNA from 1 species
GACAGAGGAUGCAAGCGUUGUUCGGAAUUACUGGGCGUAAAGCGCGCGUAGGUGGUCUAGUGUGUCUGGUGUGAAAUCCCUUGGCUCAACCAAGGAAGUGCGCCAGAAACUGCAAGACUCGAAUUCGGGAGAGGAUGGUAGAAUUCUCAGUGUAGAGGUGAAAUUCGUAGAUACUGGGAGGAACACCGGUGGCGAAGGCGACCAUCUGGACCGACAUUGACACUAAAGUGGGAAAGCGUGGGUAGCAAACAGG